AGAGAGAGAGAGAGAGAGAGAGAGAGAGAGAGAGAGAGAGAGAGAGAGAGAGAGAGUCUUCCUUCGGUACAGGAUUCGGAGCAUUAGGACGGACGCAGUAGGCUCCCUCUUUUGCCGUGGUUUGAGCAGUGAUCGGGAUACUAAACACGGAGCCUUCGACUAACCGUGAGCGGCGAGCCUAUCCGUUCACGCGGUGACGGACGAAAAUAUUCACUUGCAUUUUUGAAGUGACGAUUAAGCCUGACGAAUUAAGCGCAUCACCGACUUGGAAUCAAAUUGGUUGAUCACCAUUCUUUCAGUUAAUAUUUUUUCUUGCAGAAAUUAACUGCCACGUACCAUCACUUAUUAUAAGGUUAUUAUAAGGACUCUUCCUUGUGGAUCUGCAGACGAAACGUUCACCGUAGAAAAAAGCCUUGAGGUAGGCUAUGUGGACUAAGGUGUUCCAUUGGCACUGACAUGUGAUACCCUGGGUCUUGCUGUGCAUUUGACUAGGCAGAUACGCAUAUCAGAAUCUAUGGUGUCAGGAGCGUUGAGCUGUGAGCGGAGUAGCCCCCUCCGUGGUCGUCUGGGCUCAACAGGAAGGACCACAACUACUUCCAGGUCAACCUCCGAGGUCAUGUGGACCACACGCCUGCUCUUCCUCAGCACACUGUUCUCUUUGCUCA